AAAUUGAAGAGUUUGAUCAUGGCUCAGAUUGAACGCUGGCGGCAGGCCUAACACAUGCAAGUCGAACGGUAGCACAGAGAGCUUGCUCUCGGGUGACGAGUGGCGGACGGGUGAGUAAUGUCUGGGAAACUGCCCGAUGGAGGGGGAUAACUACUGGAAACGGUAGCUAAUACCGCAUAACGUCGCAAGACCAAAGUGGGGGACCUUCGGGCCUCACACCAUCGGAUGUGCCCAGAUGGGAUUAGCUAGUAGGUGGGGUAACGGCUCACCUAGGCGACGAUCCCUAGCUGGUCUGAGAGGAUGACCAGCCACACUGGAACUGAGACACGGUCCAGACUCCUACGGGAGGCAGCAGUGGGGAAUAUUGCACAAUGGGCGCAAGCCUGAUGCAGCCAUGCCGCGUGUAUGAAGAAGGCCUUCGGGUUGUAAAGUACUUUCAGCGAGGAGGAAGGCGUUGUGGUUAAUAACCACAGCGAUUGACGUUACUCGCAGAAGAAGCACCGGCUAACUCCGUGCCAGCAGCCGCGGUAAUACGGAGGGUGCAAGCGUUAAUCGGAAUUACUGGGCGUAAAGCGCACGCAGGCGGUUUGUUAAGUCAGAUGUGAAAUCCCCGGGCUCAACCUGGGAACUGCAUUUGAAACUGGCAAGCUUGAGUCUCGUAGAGGGGGGUAGAAUUCCAGGUGUAGCGGUGAAAUGCGUAGAGAUCUGGAGGAAUACCGGUGGCGAAGGCGGCCCCCUGGACAAAGACUGACGCUCAGGUGCGAAAGCGUGGGGAGCAAACAGGAUUAGAUACCCUGGUAGUCCACGCCGUAAACGAUGUCUACUUGGAGGUUGUGCCCUUGAGGCGUGGCUUCCGGAGCUAACGCGUUAAGUAGACCGCCUGGGGAGUACGGCCGCAAGGUUAAAACUCAAAUGAAUUGACGGGGGCCCGCACAAGCGGUGGAGCAUGUGGUUUAAUUCGAUGCAACGCGAAGAACCUUACCUGGUCUUGACAUCCACGGAAGUUUUCAGAGAUGAGAAUGUGCCUUCGGGAACCGUGAGACAGGUGCUGCAUGGCUGUCGUCAGCUCGUGUUGUGAAAUGUUGGGUUAAGUCCCGCAACGAGCGCAACCCUUAUCCUUUGU
rnacentral:rRNA from 1 species